AGCAAAGUAGAAUAAUAUGCGUUAAGUGUCUAGUGAACGGGGAGUUGUCACUAGAACGAAAAGCUUAGGCUUGCGGUAUAUUGUUCGCAUCCCGUUGCU
rfam:Anaerosporobacter mobilis DSM 15930 genome assembly, contig: EJ17DRAFT_scaffold00006.6